rnacentral:rRNA from 1 species
CAAGUCGAGCGAAUGGAUUAAGAGCUUGCUCUUAUGAAGUUAGCGGCGGACGGGUGAGUAACACGUGGGUAACAUACCCAUAAGACUGGGAUAACUCCGGGAAACCGGGGCUAAUACCGGAUAAUAUUUUGAACUGCAUAGUUCGAAAUUGAAAGGCGGCUUCGGCUGUCACUUAUGGAUGGACCCGCGUCGCAUUAGCUAGUUGGUGAGGUAACGGCUCACCAAGGCGACGAUGCGUAGCCGACCUGAGAGGGUGAUCGGCCACACUGGGACUGAGACACGGCCCAGACUCCUACGGGAGGCAGCAGUAGGGAAUCUUCCGCAAUGGACGAAAGUCUGACGGAGCAACGCCGCGUGAGUGAUGAAGGCUUUCGGGUCUUAAAACUCUGUUGUUAGGGAAAAACAAGUGCUAGUUGAAUAAUCUGGCACCUUGACGG